rnacentral:rRNA from 1 species
ACUAUGCUUGGCCCUAAACCUCGGUAGUUAGAUAACAAAACUACUCGCCAGAAUACUACAAGCAACAGCUUAAAACUCAAAGGACUUGACGGUGCUUUACAUCCCCCUAGAGGAGCCUGUUCCGUAAUCGAUAAACCCCGAUCCACCCCACCCUCUCUUGCUCAGCCUAUAUACCGCCAUCUUCAGCAAACCCUAAUGAAGGCUACAAAGUGAGCGCAAACGCCACUGCCGCGAAUACGUUAGGUCAAGGUGUAGCCCAUGAGACGGUAAAAAAUGGGCUACAUUUUCUAUUUCAGAAAACCCCACGAAAACCCUUAUGAAACUUAAGGGUCUAAGGAGGAUUUAGCAGUAAAUUAAGAAUAGAGUGCUUAAUUGAACCAGGCCAUAAAGCGCGCACACACCGCCCGUCACUCCUCUCAAAUAUAUUUAAGGAAUAUCCUAACUAAACGCCCUAAUAUUUAUAUAGAGAGGAUAAGUCGUAACAUGGUAAGCGUACUGGAAGGUGCGCUUGGAUAAAU